UGCCAGCCGCCGCGGUAAAACCAGCACCUCAAUUGGGCAGGAUGAUUAUUGGGCCUAAGCAUCCGUAGCCGGCUCUGUAAGUUUUCGGUUAAAUCUGUAUGCUCAACAUACAGGCUGCCGGGAGUACUGCAGAGCUAGGGAGUGGGAGAGGUAGACGGUACUCGGUUGGAAGGGGUAAAAUCCUUUGAUCUAUUGAUGACCACCUGUGGCGGAGGCGGUCUACCAGAACACGUCCGACGGUGAGGGAUGAAAGCUGGGGGAGCAAACCGGAUUAGAUA
rnacentral:rRNA from 1 species